CCGAAAAAGCCACUCCCUUUUGAGUUUUGGGCCUAGAGUGUCAGCUACUAAUUGCCACCUUAUAGACCUGGAUCGUGUUCUCCUGGCCCUGACCCACUGCCUCGCUGGAGAAAGCCCGUGGGGCCAGGGAAUGGGACUGUUGUCCAUUCUGUGGGGCUGGGCACUCGUGGUUACCGUGAGUACAGAUGCCACUGAAAGCUUGGUGGAGCAAAGGCCCAGGUGGGUGCUGGUAGCUCGUGGACAGACUACAACCCUGCACUGCGUCCUGCGGAAUUCCCAGUACCCCUGGCUGAGCUGGUACCAACAGGACCUCCAGGGGCAAUUGCAGGUGCUGGCCACGCUGCGGAAUCCUGGGGAUGAGGAGGUCGUAUCCCGUCCGGGAGCAGAUUACCGGGUCAGGCGGGUCAACAGCACGGAGCUGAGGCUGCAUGUGACCAAUGUGACCCAGGGCAGAACUCUUUACUGCACCUGCAGUACAGACACAGGUACCUCUGAUCCUCGGUCAGAGGCCACCGAGAGGCUGUUAAAUACAAGGAUGGUGGUGCAGGGAGGCCAGGACCACCUGCCUUUAAGGAAAUCUGAGGCCCUCUGCUUGCAGCUUUCCGAACAACUACAGCCAAGCACCAUCUCUCUGAUGGGACCCCUUCAGCCUCUGUCGCUGGGAGCUCGGUGGCGACUUCCUAGAUCCAAUCAUCUCAUUGGACCAUGA